UACGGAGGGUGCAAACGUUGCUCGGAAUUAUUGGGCGUAAAGCGUACGUAGGCGGUCCAGCGAGUCGGGUGUGAAAGCCCUCGGCUUAACCGAGGAAGUGCAUUCGAAACUACUGGACUUGAAUACUGGAGAGGAUCGCGGAAUUCCCGGUGUAGAGGUGAAAUUCGUAGAUAUCGGGAGGAACACCAGUGGCGAAGGCGGCGAUCUGGACAGAUAUUGACGCUGAUGUACGAAAGCGUGGGGAGCAAACAGG
rnacentral:rRNA from 1 species